UUCUGGGGUUAGGAGAUCGCCCCGAGGACAGGCAGAGCCUGUCUGGAUAUUUUUCUUUCUUACUAAAAAUAGGCAAUGGACCACUAUCAGCAUAUACUUGGAUUUUGCUAGACAGCCCGGAAAGGGGCUUUCAAGUCGACAACAUGACGCUUGCGUCCUGAGCGUGCCUUCAUUCGCUUCUGCGUCAGCGGUUACGUCGGAAGCCGGGCGUGUGUCUGUGUCUCUGGGCACCAAGUGGCUUGUCCUAUAGCGUGAUCCCAUCCAGGAUACUACAUUCCAGAAUGUGUGUUUUGGCCAGGGUGGCUCUCAUCCCCCAGACAGCCUCAUGCCUCAAGGGGAGCUGACCCCCAGCCCCAGCUCCCAGAGUGAGCCUGCCUCGUCCAGGGUGUGACAAGCAGAGAAUGACUUCAGCUGCUUGGCGGACUCAGAGCUGACAGGCAGCAGAUGCAGGAAGCUGACUCGUUUUUUUUUUGUUGUUUUUUUUUUAGCUGAGCCAUCCUGCCACCUUUUGGCAGCUCAGCGGCAGCUCAGCUUGGGCUG